rnacentral:lncRNA from 1 species
CAGAACCUAAACAGUAACUAUGGCAACGCAAGCCACUCCAAUAAGACUAACACAGAUUAUUUCCAGCACAAUAGCUUGGCUUGUGCUCAGAAAGCAGAGGUAAUGUUGGCUGAAAGCAAUUCCUGAAUUGGGGGGAGCGGGGGACGCAGGGCGGGAUAAAAUCCUCUGGCGGUGGAACGAGAACUAGGUUUCUGGUUUCAGGCCUCUAGGAUUCAGUGGCAAGAUGAGUUAACUACUGGAUUAAUACCUUGCCACUCCACAGUAAUGAACUGGCAGUCUCUUCAUCGUCUGCUUUAGUUUCUUCACUUCCAACCACAAAGUCAUUCAAACCCCAGGACUCCUAAGAACAGUAAAAAAGAACACGCGCUGUGAAAAUUAUAGAAUUGGGCAGUUUGAACAGACAUUAGGGAUCACCUGGACUGGGAGCCUCUCGAAGACAGGAGAACAAGCUACAUGUUUUGCACAGAGCUGAGGACCUGAUCCAAGCUAAAAGAUGUCAAUGCUGCAGGCUCUCUCACAUGCCAAGAGAGGAAAAGUCCCAGAUAGGCUGGUCUGAGUCACUGAGAACUCACAUUACACCCUGGAUCGCCCAGAACUCAGCGAACUCAGCAGGCACACAGCCUGCUCAGAUGGGACGAUGAGACACAGAACUGGUAAGGAGAGGACGAGGGUUUGGACAAAGGCAGCUUACUUCCUGGAUCCCCGCCCUUAGCAGUGCACACAGC